GUGGGAUCUCGAAGUCCUGUGUCGAGGGCAUUCAGUGUCGAGCGCCGUCGCUGAACGACUGUACCAUUUUACCGUCGCUCAGGAGGAAAUGGUAAGCGACUCGCAAUUGCUCUCGCCCAGAGGACGCUGCAGCCGGUCGGGUCUCUUUCAAGAUCUCCGGAAGGGCGAGCGUUUGCAGGUGGUCGGUGGCACGCCUAGUGGCACGCUGUCGGCUUUUUCAGCUUGUUCGUCCCGGGAAGAUCACCCGACCGAGGUGUCGUUAGCCUUUCGGGGCUCCGUCGUCUCCCUGGCAUCGUGCUCCGAGAAGCUUCCGCAGGUGAGUUCUCCUGCCCACGUCGCACCGGAUUCCCGCGUGGACGGAAGCGGAGAGACCUUCGUUGGCGUGGCUUGCUCGCUGGAGACUUUCGGCUGGCAGCGAAGUCGUCGGAUUCCCACCCGACCCGUCUUGAAACACGGACCAAGGAGUCUAACAUGUACGCGAGUCGUCGGGACUUGGAUAUGCCCGCAGGCGGAGAGAAGUCGAUUCGAGUGCGACUCGUCGCACUGCGUUGGGAUCCCCUGGUCUUUCGGGGGCGCACCAACGGCCCGUCUGUUUCGUUUUGCGAUCGGACGGAGUCCGAGCGUACACGUUGGGACCCGA
rnacentral:rRNA from 1 species